rnacentral:tRNA from 1 species
GCCUCCUUAGCUCAGUGGUUAGAGCACUGGUAUUGUAAACCUGGGGUCAUGAGUUCGAAUUUCAUAGGGGGCU